UACGUAGGGUGCAAGCGUUAAUCGGAAUUACUGGGCGUAAAGCGCACGUAGGCGGCUAUUCAAGUCGGGGGUGAAAGCCCGGGGCUCAACCCCGGAACUGCCCUCGAAACUAGGUAGCUAGAAUCUUGGAGAGGUCAGUGGAAUUCCGAGUGUAGAGGUGAAAUUCGUAGAUAUUCGGAAGAACACCAGUGGCGAAGGCGACUGACUGGACAAGUAUUGACGCUGAGGUGCGAAAGCGUGGGGAGCAAACAGG
rnacentral:rRNA from 1 species